AGGGUUCGAUUCUGGCUCAGGAUGAACGCUGGCGGCGUGCUUAACACAUGCAAGUCGAACGAACCUUCGGGUUAGUGGCGGACGGGUGAGUAACGCGUGGGAAUCUGCCCUCAGGAGGGGGAUAACGGUUGGAAACGACCGCUAAUACCCCAUAUGCCGAGAGGUGAAAUGAAUUUCGCCUGAGGAUGAGCCCGCGUCUGAUUAGCUUGUUGGUGAGGUAAUGGCUCACCAAGGCAUCGAUCAGUAGCUGGUCUGAGAGGAUGAUCAGCCACACUGGGACUGAGACACGGCCCAGACUCCUACGGGAGGCAGCAGUGGGGAAUUUUCCGCAAUGGGCGAAAGCCUGACGGAGCAACGCCGCGUGAGGGACGAAGGCCUCUGGGCUGUAAACCUCUUUUCUCAAGGAAGAAGAUAUGACGGUACUUGAGGAAUAAGCCACGGCUAAUUCCGUGCCAGCAGCCGCGGUAAUACGGGAGUGGCAAGCGUUAUCCGGAAUUAUUGGGCGUAAAGCGUCCGCAGGCGGCCUUUCAAGUCUGCUGUUAAAACGUGGAGCUUAACUCCAUCAUGGCAGUGGAAACUGAUUGGCUUGAGUAUGGUAGGGGCAGAGGGAAUUCCCGGUGUAGCGGUGAAAUGCGUAGAUAUCGGGAAGAACACCAGUGGCGAAGGCGCUCUGCUGGGCCAUUACUGACGCUCAUGGACGAAAGCCAGGGGAGCGAAAGGGAUUAGAUACCCCUGUAGUCCUGGCCGUAAACGAUGAACACUAGGUGUCGGGGGAAUCGACCCCUUCGGUGUCGUAGCUAACGCGUUAAGUGUUCCGCCUGGGGAGUACGCACGCAAGUGUGAAACUCAAAGGAAUUGACGGGGGCCCGCACAAGCGGUGGAGUAUGUGGUUUAAUUCGAUGCAACGCGAAGAACCUUACCAGGGCUUGACAUCCUGCGAACCUUUAAGAAAUUAGAGGGUGCCUUCGGGAACGCAGUGACAGGUGGUGCAUGGCUGUCGUCAGCUCGUGUCGUGAGAUGUUGGGUUAAGUCCCGCAACGAGCGCAACCCACGUUUUUAGUUGCCAGCAUUUAGUUGGGCACUCUAGAAAGACCGCCGGUGAUAAACCGGAGGAAGGUGUGGAUGACGUCAAGUCAUCAUGCCCCUUACGUCCUGGGCUACACACGUACUACAAUGCUACGGACAAAGGGCAGCAAACUCGCGAGAGCUAGCAAAUCCCAUAAACCGUGGCUCAGUUCAGAUCGUAGGCUGCAACUCGCCUACGUGAAGUAGGAAUCGCUAGUAAUCGCAGGUCAGCAUACUGCGGUGAAUACGUUCCCGGGCCUUGUACACACCGCCCGUCACACCAUGGAAGUUGGCCACGCCCGAAGUCGUUACUUUAACCCUUGUGGAGAAGGACGCCGAAGGUGGGGCUGAUGACUGGGGUGAAGUCGUAACAAGGUAACC
rnacentral:rRNA from 1 species